UACAGGGGGGGCAAGCGUUGUUCGGAAUUACUGGGCGUAAAGGGUCUGUAGGUGGCCAACUAAGUCAGACGUGAAAUCCCUCAGCUUAACUGGGAACUGCGUCUGAUACUGGGUGGCUUGAGUGUGGGAGAGGAAGUGCGGAAUUCCCGGUGUAGCGGUGAAAAUGCGCAGAUAUCGGGAGGAACACCCGUAGCGAAGGCGGCACUCUGGGCCGGAACUGACGCUGAGGAGCGAAAGCGUGGGGGAG
rnacentral:rRNA from 1 species